rnacentral:misc_RNA from 1 species
CAGCCGCGUAAUUCCAGCUCCAAUAGCGUAUAUUAAAGUUGUUGCAGUUAAAAAGCUCGUAGUUGAAUUUCGGGAUCAAUAUGUUGGUCGUGCCUUUGGUACGUACUAGCUUCUUGAUUUCUCCCUUCUGACGAACCAUGAUGUCAUUAAUUUGGUGUCAUGGGGAAUCAGGACUGUUACUUUGAAAAAAUUAGAGUGUUUAAAGCAGGCUUACGCUUGAAUAUAUUAGCAUGGAAUAAUGAAAUAGGACGUUUGAUUCUAUUUUGUUGGUUUCUAGGAUCGACGUAAUGAUUAAUAGGGAUAGUUGGGGGCAUUAGUAUUCAAUUGUCAGAGGUGAAAUUCUUGGAUUUAUUGAAGACUAACUACUGCGAAAGCAUUUGCCAAGGAUGUUUUCAUUAAUCAAGAACGAAAGUUAGGGGAUCGAAGACGAUCAGAUACCGUCGUAGUCUUAACCAUAAACUAUGCCGACUAGGGAUCGGAUGAUGUUAAUUUUUUAAUGACUCAUUCGGCGCCUUACG